rnacentral:lncRNA from 1 species
CGGGUCCAGCGGUCGCGCGCGCCCUGGAGUCCUGUCCUGGUUCUGGCGGCUGAGGGCCGGGUGGCGCAGGCGGCCUCCGGCUGUGCCCAUGGGAACUAAAACCUUCGGUUCUAGAAGAGCCGGGGGAGAGGCUCCGGGAAGACCGAAUUCUUCAGAAAUCGCAGAGAGACCUUGGACCGGAUCCUUCCCUGCAGGGCUGCGUCGGGGAAGCGCCGGCACAAGUAUAUUCAGCGACUUCCUUGGAAGCGCCUACGUUAGAAUACUACAAACUUACAAGCUAGUUGAUCAGUUUACCUCCCACUAGAAAAGACAGUAUGGGAAGGCAGAGGCCGCGUGGCCUGGACCCCCGUCUUUGCUGUCAGGCUUCCAGAGUGAAGCCUCUCCUUCCUGGAAAUUGCCAUCACCAGCGGCCAUAGCACCCCCAUGGGACCUGGGGGAUGGAGUUGGAAGCCCCCUCCGGCAACACUGGCCAGAUUGGAGAGACCAGCAGGGAAGCUCCCUCCUACCCCCAGGGAGGCUGAAGCCAGCUCUCCAUGGGCACGAAACCUGGAACCCAGGACCCUGGGGGGCAGGGCUAUGCUGGACUAGAGAAGACACAGGUGGCCAAAGCUGGACCCAGCCCUCAGGGAACAGAUAACCUGCGUGAGAAACAAAUAAUUGAUUCUGCCCUUUAUCCCUCCCGGGCCAGCACGGAGGGGUUCAGCCAAUGACUGGGAAUUGAAUGAAAAACCAAAGAGAACAGCCAUGAGAUCUGUCUGCUAUGGGUGGGAAAGCAGAUGGGAGAGUGAGAAGGGCUUCAAGGAGAAGGUGAUAUGUGAACAGGGCAUAAAUGGAUGAAUAGGAGUUUGCCAGGCACAGAAAGGGAAGGACAUUCCAGGGGAAGCAGGCAGAGGCCUGGCAAGGCAAAGGCCAGGAGGAUUGCAAGUAAAGUCAUGGUAUGAGCAGAAAACAAGAGAGGUCCAGUUGCCCAUGGCAUAGGAGAGGGGACAGGCCAAGAGGGUAGUGGGUAAGCACUGUUUUCCCUGCCCAGCAUCCAUCUCUCACUCUGGUGACUGUCCCUCAGUUUUCUAGUCUCCAGUGUGACUGGCCCCCAACCCUCAAGCUCUAAAAGUGGGUUUGAGUCCUGUGCCUAGCCAGUCUGAGUCAUGGGAAUGGCUCCAGCAUAUGACAUCAGAGAGCAUCAGCCCAGGAACUUGAUGGGACUGUUAGGGUCACAAAUGUCAAGAUGCCAGCCCAGAGCUGCUGGUGGCCAGCUCUGCCACCCUAAGGGGGGAGCCUGCCUAAGAAUAAGGCCAACAUAGAAGAAAACAGCACCAAGAGAAUGAAUCUCAAUGACAUUGCCUGUGCUCCUGGAUCCAGUCAUGCCUGAAGCAGUUUCUAUUCUACGAGCCAACAAAUUCCAGUUUUGGCUUAAUACAGUUAGGGUUGGGUCUGUCACUUGCCACUGAGAAUGAAGGGCCCAUUGCAGAAUAGCUAAAGGCAGGUGAUCACUCAUGAGAGUUGCCGAGUGCUGUGGGAAAGGCAACGAUGAUCUGUGUGUAGAGGUACAACACCAUCAGAACUGCAUUUUCUUUCAUUUAAAUUACUUUUUGAGGCCGGGUGCGGUGGCUCACGCCUGUAAUCCCAGCACUUUG